UCAACCCCUCAAGCCCCGGGCUUGGUGUUGGACCUUUCAGGUGGCGGUGUAACCCAUCCCACCGGUCCCAAAGGCAACGACGGCGUCCGUUGGACCCCCGGUACACUGAGCUUUUUCCAAGGCACGUACCGACGGUGGUCCGCAGACGUGUGUCUCACCCCAUUUUUUUUCAGG
rnacentral:misc_RNA from 1 species